rnacentral:rRNA from 1 species
UACAGAGGGUGCAAGCGUUGUUCGGAAUUAUUGGGCGUAAAGCGCGCGUAGGCGGCUUUGCAAGUCGGGUGUGAAAGCCCUCAGCUCAACCUCGGAACUGCCUUCGAUACUGCGGGUCUCGAGUCCGGGAGAGGUGAGUGGAAUUCCUAGUGUAGAGGUGAAAUUCGUAGAUAUUAGGAAGAACACCAGUGGCGAAGGCGGCUCACUGGCCCGGUACUGACGCUGAGGCGCGAAAGCGUGGGGAGCAAACAGG